CAAUUUAUCAUUCUUGUCUACUUUUUUAUAUUAUCUUUGAUAACUCAUUGGAUUGGUGAUGGACUUUUUGGUAAAAAAUUGACCCAUGAGUGUAAAAAAAAGCAUGCCGUCAUUUAAAUCGCGUCUUAAAUAUUUAGUACAUGCAGGAUAUAUUGACCCCUCCUCUGCAGAGGUUAGGUGAAAACUUUAAAAAAAAUAUGACUUUUGGAGUUAUAGUAGUUAGUUAGUACUUUAAUUUUUUGAAUCUGAUGUUAAAUUUUUUUUCCUGUCAUAAAAAUCUGACGAAAUGUCAAAUUUGACAGUAUAUUUUACAAUUAAUAAGCAAAUUCCGUGAAAGCAUUCGUCGAACGUUUUCUUUCCGUGCCAUUCCGGGAAAAAUGUAGAACGAGCAUUUCGCAUAUGAAAAACUUUGCGAAGAAAACGUCGGACAGUUCUCGUCGAUCAAGAAGGAGAAUUAUAUAUUUUGCUAUGUUUCGAAGACAACACUCAAAUCAUUUCAUAGAAGAUGCCAAAAGUUACUUUGGUCGGUCGGCCAAACAAAUUCAUUCAACUUUAAAAAAGUUUAAGUAUUAUUCUUAUAAAAUAUUACCUGUUCAAACUUUAAGUGUAACGCAAAGAAAUGAUCGGGUGGCAUUUUGUCAAGAGAUAUUAGAACUAAAAGGUAACGAUAAUAGCGUUUUUUUUUAAAUUUGUGGACCGAUGAAUGCACCUUUACCACCGUAGACAUUUAUAAUUGGAAGAAUGUUUGCUUUUGGUUAAGGAUCAACCCUUGAAUAACAAGACAAAUUAAGUUUCAAGGGCGGCAUUCUUUACAUGUAUGGAGUAGCAUUUUAAAUGAUCAAGUCAAAGGACGUAUCUUUUAUAACGGAAAGUUAUCGGAUAAGAAAUUCACUAUAGAGCUGCUUACUUACCCAAUUAAAACGAGACUUGAAAAUCUACGCGUAAGGAAAUACAAGCAAAAAGUAUGGCAUCAAGAUCCAGUGGCGAAAUUGGGAGCGGGCUUGGGGGUGCUUAGCACCCCGAAAAUAUAAAUGCACCCCAAAAAAAAUUGAGAAAUAUAUAGGCACCUAAUAAUAUUUCGAUGUUGGCAAAGUUGGAUAGAAAAGAACAUGAAUUAGGUUAUUAGUUAAUUAGAACCCAAGAUAAUCUGACAUUGAAAAAAAUUCAAAUAGAAAAAUUGUAGAGGCGCUUGGUUUCUUAUCAAGUUUUUAGUAAAUCUGUUUUUACUAACAGAAAUUUUGAUUGACAA